rnacentral:rRNA from 1 species
GACGAACGCUGGCGGCGUGCUUAACACAUGCAAGUCGAACGGAAAGGCCCUGCUUUUGUGGGGUGCUCGAGUGGCGAACGGGUGAGUGACACGUGAGUAACCUGCCCUUGACUUUGGGAUAACUUCAGGAAACUGGGGCUAAUACCGGAUAGGAGCUCCUGCUGCAUGGUGGGGGAUGGAAAGUUUCGGCGGUUGGGGAUGGACUCGCGGCUUAUCAGCUUGUUGGUGGGGUAGUGGCUUACCAAGGCUUUGACGGGUAGCCGGCCUGAGAGGGUGACCGGCCACAUUGGGACUGAGAUACGGCCCAGACUCCUACGGGAGGCAGCAGUGGGGAAUAUUGCACAAUGGGCGGAAGCCUGAUGCAGCAACGCCGCGUGCGGGAUGACGGCCUUCGGGUUGUAAACCGCUUUCGCCUGUGACGAAGCGUGAGUGACGGUAAUGGGUAAAGAAGCACCGGCUAACUACGUG